ACGGGUGAGUAACGCGUGGGUAACCUGCCUCAUACAGGGGGAUAACAGUUAGAAAUGACUGCUAAUACCGCAUAAGCGCACAGUGCUGCAUGGCACAGUGUGAAAAACUCCGGUGGUAUGAGAUGGACCCGCGUCUGAUUAGCUAGUUGGUGGGGUAACGGCCUACCAAGGCGACGAUCGGUAGCCGGACUGAGAGGGUGAACGGCCACAUUGGGACUGAGACACGGCCCAGACUCCUACGGGAGGCAGCUG
rnacentral:rRNA from 1 species